rnacentral:rRNA from 1 species
GCGACCGGAGCUUACGGCCUGUGUGGCCAAUAUCAAUAAGCGGAGGAAAAGAAACCAACAGGGAUUGCCCUAGUAACGGCGAGUGAAGCGGCAACAGCUCAAAUUUGAAAUCUGGCCCUCGGGUCCGAGUUGUAAUUUGUAGAGGAUGCUUUGGGUGCGGUGCCUUCCGAGUUCCUUGGAACAGGACGCCUUAGAGGGUGAGAGCCCCGUACGGUUGGACACCAAGCCUAUGUAAAGCUCCUUCGACGAGUCGAGUAGUUUGGGAAUGCUGCUCUAAAUGGGAGGUAAAUUUCUUCUAAAGCUAAAUACCGGCCAGAGACCGAUAGCGCACAAGUAGAGUGAUCGAAAGAUGAAAAGUACUUUGAAAAGAGGGUUAAAUAGCACGUGAAAUUGUUGAAAGGGAAGCGUUUAUGACCAGACCUCUGCCUGGCGGAUCAUCCGGUGUUCUUCACCGGUGCACUUCGCCUGGCUCAGGCCAGCAUCGAUUUCUGCAGGGGGAUAAAGGCCGUGGGAAUGUAGCUCCCUUCGGGGAGUGUUAUAGCCCUAGGCGUAAUACCUCUGCGGGGAUCGAGGUUCGCGCUUCUGCAAGGAUGCUGGCGUAAUGGUCAUCAACGACCCGUCUUGAAACACGGACCAAGGAGUCGAACAUUUAUGCGAGUGUUUGGGUGUUAAACCCUCACGCGUAAUGAAAGUGAACGGAGGUGAGAGCCCCUUUCGGGGUGCAUCAUCGACCGAUCCUGAUGUCUUCGGAUGGAUUUGAGUAAGAGCAUAACUGUUCGGACCCGAAAGAUGGUGAACUAUGCGUGGAUAGGGUGAAGCCAGAGGAAACUCUGGUGGAGGCUCGCAGCGGUUCUGACGUGCAAAUCGAUCGUCAAAUCUGCGCAUGGGGGCGAAAGACUUAUCGAACCAUCUAGUAGCUGGUUACCGCC